CGUGACUGUUCACACAUGGGUGGGCCAAUUUGGGGACGGCGGAGCCGCGGCGUUCGGUGCUAUCGUGAAGGACGGCGGUCUCAAGCUCCGUUUAUGAUCUGUCGCUUCCGCUGCUAAACAAUGUAAAGGGGUGCACGCCAAAAGAUUAUAUCAUCGGACUAUACCAUUGAUCCGAGUACACACGGAGAGGAUGAGCCUUGGUGUCGCGGUUACUUUCCUCCUUGACAAGAUGGAUUACCAAGAUUCGAGUCAUAGAAACAGUGUUUCUGCUUAUAAGGAAUGGGGUCUACGCCAACAGACAUCUCAGUGUUGCCCAACAUACAUGUGUGUGCUUUUGGAAAAGUGUUAGUCCCUUUUGCAUAGAAUAUUAUGAUAUGUUCAGCAUGGGGCCGCAUGACAGUCCGUGAUGCAAGUGUUGAGUUACCUAGCAGUUAUAGGUUGUUCAGAGUUACCUAUCUUUAAUUCCCUCAUUUUUCUUGUUUUUUGAAAAAUUGAUUGGAUAUUCAGUCAGAUUUAUAUUUGGCUUAAUGGUUUUGUUAUGUAGGUGGGAUUUGUGGAUACUGGAUCACAUUCUUUCUCUAGUAACAAGAUAAUUAUUGCAGGCCA